rnacentral:rRNA from 1 species
UACGUAGGCAGCAAGCGUUGUUCGGAGUUACUGGGCGUAAAGGGUGUGUAGGCGGUUCUUUAAGUUUGGUGUGAAAUCUCGGAGCUCAACUCCGAAAUUGCACUGGAUACUGCUCUGCUAGAGGGCUGGAGAGGAGAUCGGAAUUCACGGUGUAGCAGUGAAAUGCGUAGAUAUCGUGAGGAAGACCAGUGGCGAAGGCGGAUCUCUGGACAGCUCCUGACGCUGAGGCGCGAAGGCUAGGGGAGCAAACGGG